CAAUGGAGGAAACUCUGAUGCAGCGAUGCCGCGUGAGUGAAGAAGGCCCUUGGGUUGUAAAGCUCUUUCGUCGGGGAAGAAAAUGACUGUACCCGAAUAAGAAGGUCCGGCUAACUUCGUGCCAGCAGCCGCGGUAAUACGAAGGGACCUAGCGUAGUUCGGAAUUACUGGGCUUAAAGAGUUCGUAGGUGGUUGAAAAAGUUGGUGGUGAAAUCCCAGAGCUUAACUCUGGAACUGCCAUCAAAACUUUUCAGCUAGAGUUUGAUAGAGGAAAGCAGAAUUUCUAGUGUAGAGGUGAAAUUCGUAGAUAUUAGAAAGAAUACCAAUUGCGAAGGCAGCUUUCUGGAUCAUUACUGACACUGAGGAACGAAAGCAUGGGUAGCGAAGAGGAUUAGAUACCCUCGUAGUCCAUGCCGUAAACGAUGUGUGUUAGACGUUGGAAAUUUAUUUUCAGUGUCGCAGCGAAAGCGAUAAACACACCGCCUGGGGAGUACGACCGCAAGGUUAAAACUCAAAUGAAUUGACGGGGACCCGCACAAGUAGUGGAGCAUGUGGUUUAAUUCGAAGAUACGCGCAGAACCUUACCAACACUUGACAUGUUCGUCGCGACUUUAAGAGAUUAGAGUUUUCGGUUCGGCCGGACGAAACACAGGUGCUGCAUGGCUGUCGUCAGCUCGUGUCGUGAGAUGUUGGGUUAAGUCCCGCAACGAGCGCAACCCUCACUUUUAGUUGCCAUCAUUUAGUUGGGCACUCUGAAAGAACUGCCAGUGAUAAGCUGGAGGAAGG
rnacentral:rRNA from 1 species